rnacentral:rRNA from 1 species
UACGGGGGGGGCAAGCGUUGUUCGGAAUUAUUGGGCGUAAAGGGCGCGUAGGCGGCCCGGCAAGUGGAAGGUGAAAUCCCUCGGCUCAACCGAGGAACUGCCUUCCAAACUGCCUGGGCUUGAGUCCGGGAGAGGUGAGUGGAAUUCCCAGUGUAGCGGUGAAAUGCGUAGAUAUUGGGAGGAACACCAGUGGCGAAGGCGCCGCUCUGGGC